AAAACUUCUUAUCCAGUCUCUGCACAAAGGGAAGCAACCUAUUAUCUAUAUCCUGGACAAUUGGUGCAUUAUGUUUCAGCAGCUGUGAAAAAUUCCAAACGUGUUAGUUUGCUGUGAUUACAAACUUAUCUGUCAAGAAAAGGAUAAUCAGGAAAUAUCUGGAGUUCUGGAUAACAUUUGCAGUUGCCAGUGUUAGUCUAAUGAACACUCCAAAGAACUCCAAAAGUCCCAUGAACACAGUGGGUCAAAGGGGUCUGGAUGCUGCAUGCACCUGUUGUCCUUUGAAAAUACAGACU